rnacentral:rRNA from 1 species
UGGGGAAUAUUGGGCAAUGGGCGCAAGCCUGACCCAGCAACGCCGCGUGAAGGAAGAAGGCCCUCGGGUUGUAAACUUCUUUUAUUCGGGACGAAGAAGUGACGGUACCGAAUGAAUAAGCCACGGCUAACUACGUGCCAGCAGCCGCGGUAAUACGUAGGUGGCAAGCGUUAUCCGGAUUUACUGGGUGUAAAGGGUGCGUAGGCGGCCUUGCAAGUCAGGCGUGAAAAACCAUGGGCUCAACCCGUGGACUGCGUUUGAAACUGUGAGGCUUGAGUGAAGUAGAGGUAGGCGGAAUUCCCGGUGUAGCGGUGAAAUGCGUAGAGAUCGGGAGAACACCAGUGGCGAAAGGCGGCCUACUGGGCUUUAACUGACGCUGAGGCACGAAAGCAUGGGUAGCAAACAGGAUUAGAUACC